rnacentral:rRNA from 1 species
CGAACUGGUGAGUAACACGUGGGAAACCUGCCCAGAAGCGGGGGAUAACACCUGGAAACAGAUGCUAAUACCGCAUAACAACUUGGACCGCAUGGUCCGAGCUUGAAAGAUGGCUUCGGCUAUCACUUUUGGAUGGUCCCGCGGCGUAUUAGCUAGAUGGUGGGGUAACGGCUCACCAUGGCAAUGAUACGUAGCCGACCUGAGAGGGUAAUCGGCCACAUUGGGACUGAGACACGGCCCAA